UCUGGCGUGCUCAGUGCGUCCGAGUUGUAAUCUAUAGAGUCGUUUUCCGUGCCGGACUGUGUCCAAGUCCCUUGGAACAGGGUAUCAAAGAGGGUGAUAAUCCCGUACUUGACACAAUGACCGGUGCUCUGUGAUACGUCUUCUACGAGUCGAGUUGUUUGGGAAUGCAGCUCAAAAUGGGUGGUGAGUUCCAUCUAAAGCUAAAUAUUGGCGAGAGACCGAUAGCGAACAAGUACCGUGAGGGAAAGAUGAAAAGCACUUUGGAAAGAGAGUUAAACAGUACGUGAAAUUGUUAAAAGGGAAACGAUUGAAGUCAGUCGUGACUGAGAGGCUCAGCCGGUUCUGCCGGUGUAUUCCCCUCAGUCGGGUCAACAUCAGUUUUGUUCGGUGGAUAAGGGCAGUUGGAAGGUGGCACCCUCGGGUGUGUUAUAGCCAGCUGUCGCAUACAUCGGAUGAGACUGAGGAAUGCAGCUCGCCUUUAUGGCCGGGGUUCGCCCACGUUCGAGCUUAGGAUGUUGACAUAAUGGCUUUAAACG
rnacentral:rRNA from 1 species